GACGAACGCUGGCGGCGUGCUUAACACAUGCAAGUCGAACGGAGUGGCGAACGGGUGAGUAACACGUGGGUGAUCUGCCUUGCACUUCGGGAUAAGCUUGGGAAACUGGGUCUAAUACCGGAUAGUGCAAGAUGAGCUCGCGGCCUAUCAGCUUGUUGGUGGGGUAAGGGCCUACCAAGGCGUCGACGGGUAGCCGGCCUGAGAGGGUGUACGGCCACAUUGGGACUCGGCUACGGCCCAGACGGCUACGGGGGGCAGAAGUGGAGAAUAUUGCACAAUGGGCGGAAGUCGUGUGCAGCGAGGCUGCGUGGGGGAUGAAGGCCUUCGGGUUGUAAACUCCUUUCGACAGGGACGCGGUACCUGUAUAAGAAGCACCGGCUAACUACGUGCCAGCAGCCGCGGUAAUAC
rnacentral:rRNA from 1 species